rnacentral:tRNA from 1 species
GCCCCCCGCUUACACCGGGAAGAUAUCCGUGCAACCCAGAUCAUUUUGA